rnacentral:rRNA from 1 species
GACGUAGGUGGCAAGCGUUGUCCGGAUUUACUGGGCGUAAAGGGUGCGUAGGUGGAUAUUUAAGUCAGAUGUGAAACCCCCAGGCUCAACCUGGGAACUGCAUUUGAAACUGGAUGUCUGGAGUGCAGGAGAGGUAAGUGGAAUUCCUAGUGUAGCGGUGAAAUGCGUAGAGAUUAGGAAGAACACCAGUGGCGAAGGCGACUUACUGGACUGUAACUGACACUGAGGCACGAAAGCGUGGGUAGCAAACAGG